UACGUAGGGGGCAAGCGUUGUCCGGAUUUAUUGGGCGUAAAGAGCGUGUAGGCGGCCAUGUAGGUCCGUUGUGAAAACUCGAGGCUCAACCUCGAGACGCCGAUGGAAGCCAUGUGGCUAGAGUCCGGAAGAGGAGAGUGGAAUUCCCGGUGUAGCGGUGAAAUGCGCAGAUAUCGGGAAGAACACCCGUGGCUAAGGCGGCUCUCUAGUACGGUACUGACGCUGAGACGCGAAAGCGUGGGGAGCGAACAGG
rnacentral:rRNA from 1 species